GGUAAGUGCCACGGGAAGUGUGGGGCGAAAGGUCAAGUGCCACAGGAAGUGUGGGGCGAAAGGUCAAGUGCCACAGGAAGUGCGGGGCAAAAGGUCAAGUGCUACGGGAAGUGUGGGAUGAAAGGGCAAGUGUUACAGGAAGUGUGGGAUGAAAGGGCAAGUGUUACGGGAAGUGUGGGGUGAAAGGUCAAGUGUUACGGGAAGUGCGGGGUGAAAGGUCAAGUGCUACAGGAAGUGUGGGGCGAAAGGUCAAGUGCUACAGGAAGUGUGGGAUGAAAGGUCAAGUGCUACAGGAAGUGUGGGGCGAAAGGUCAAGUGCUACAGGAAGUGUGGGGUGAAAGGUCAAGUGCUACAGGAAGUGUGGGGUGAAAGGUCACCGGAGUAAUAACAAGGAUAUGCAGAGCUGUCAUGAACUCUUUGAAGUAGUUUAAGUCUUUGUUCACAUUAUUAAUGUCCUGAUGAUACAUUGUGAUCAUUUGAAUGCCACUUUCCUGAAUAAAAGUAUCAAUUUCUU